GACAGUUUGGCCGAGUGGUCUAAGGCGCUGGCUUCAGGCGUCAGUUCGCAAGGGUGUCGGUUUGAUUCCCACAGCUGUCA
rfam:Perkinsus marinus ATCC 50983 gcontig_1104296678970, whole genome shotgun sequence.